rnacentral:rRNA from 1 species
AGAGUUUGAUCUGGCUCAGGACGAACGCUGGCGGCGUGCUUAACACAUGCAAGUCGAGCGGAAAGGCCCUUCGGGGGUACUCGAGCGGCGAACGGGUGAGUAACACGUGAGUAACCUGCCUCUGGCUUUGGGAUAACCCUCGGAAACGGGGGCUAAUACCGAAUAUUCAUUCCUGACGGCAUCGUUGGGGUUGGAAAGUUUUUCGGCCAGGGAUGGGCUCGCGGCCUAUCAGCUAGUUGGUGGGGUAAUGGCCUACCAAGGCGUCGACGGGUAGCCGGCCUGAGAGGGCGACCGGCCACACUGGGACUGAGACACGGCCCAGACUCCUACGGGAGGCAGCAGUGGGGAAUAUUGCACAAUGGGCGGAAGCCUGAUGCAGCGACGCCGCGUGAGGGAUGACGGCCUUCGGGUUGUAAACCUCUUUCGACAGGGACGAAGCGCAAGUGACGGUACCUGGAGAAGAAGCACCGGCCAACUACGUGCCAGCAGCCGCGGUAAGACGUAGGGUGCGAGCGUUGUCCGGAUUUAUUGGGCGUAAAGAGCUCGUAGGCGGCUCGUCGCGUCGACCGUGAAAACCAGCAGCUUAACUGCUGGCUUGCGGUUGAUACGGGCGGGCUAGAGUUCGGUAGGGGAGACUGGAAUUCCUGGUGUAGCGGUGAAAUGCGCAGAUAUCAGGAGGAACACCGGUGGCGAAGGCGGGUCUCUGGGCCGAUACUGACGCUGAGGAGCGAAAGCGUGGGGAGCGAACAGGAUUAGAUACCCUAGUAGUCC